rnacentral:rRNA from 1 species
GAUGAACGCUAGCGGCAGGCCUAACACAUGCAAGUCGAGGGGUAGCAGGAUUAAGCUUGCUUAAUUGCUGACGACCGGCGCACGGGUGCGUAACGCGUAUGCAACCUACCUUAUACUGGGGUAUAGCCCGGAGAAAUUCGGAUUAAUCCCCCAUAGUACUAAUGAAUCGCAUGGUUUAUUAGUUAAAGCAUUGCGGUAUAAGAUGGGCAUGCGUCCUAUUAGCUAGAUGGUGAGGUAACGGCUCACUAUGGCUACGAUAGGUAGGGGGCCUGAGAGAGUGGUCCCCCACACUGGUACUAAGACACGGACCAGACUCCUACGGGAGGCAGCAGUGAGGAAUAUUGGUCAAUGGGCGCAAGCCUGAACCAGCCAUGCCGCGUGCAGGAAGAAUGCCCUAUGGGUUGUAAACUGCUUUUAUUUGGGAAUAAACCUCUUUACGUGUAGAGAGCUGAAGGUACCAAAUGAAUAAGCACCGGCUAACUCCGUGCCAGCAGCCGCGGUAA